UUAGGAAUGUGAUGUGAAACAAAUCAAAGACAAAUACGAGUCUAAAGUUCUGGUAUGCUGAACUACAAUAUAAUUUACUCUAAAUAACUUGGUAUCCUGCCAGAAAAGGUGGACAAAACCCAUUGCAUUAGAGGUCUCUCUGCCCUGUUACAUCUGUUCUGUUUCCCUGAAACAGAAUGAAAGAAACAACAAUAAAAGAAGGAAUGCUUCUCACCAAACAUAAAAUGCCGGUGUCAUGCCAAAGGAAGAGGGGAGGAACAGAGGCCAAACAGAAACACACAGGUCAAGAUUUGGCAGGUGUGAAUUGUAUGGGGCAAAUUUUUCAAGCUACCUUAAGUUUCAUACCAAGAGAAGCUAGAUUUUCAGUAUUUGUCUUGACAAAAAAAUUAGUCUUAUAAUUGAACUACAGUAAAAUCUUCAUUAUGAAAUAUUAUCAUUCAACUAUCAUUAGCAGGUAAAUUUAUAGAUUAAGUAUCACUGACGUUUGAAAUGGUUCUGCUAAUGUUUGCACUACAAAGUAUCUCAAAAUAACUGUAUGCAAUAACUGUUAGUAUUCAGAGUUUCAAAAGAAAUCUCCACAUGAU
rnacentral:lncRNA from 1 species